GGAAGGCGCCUAGCGCUCGCUGCCCGUUUUCGCCCCACAUCUCGCUCACCCUCCCUGCAGCUCCUCCACGCUCACGUUUUUCCACACUUCUCUCAUUUUCCUCCUCUGAAAGCCCUACCUCGAGCAAAGGGGAAAGCAGAGCUAUAAGAAAACAGCCCGCAGAGCUAAUCGGGGCUGAAGGAAGGCGCCUAGCGCUCGCUGCCCGUUUUCGCCCCACAUCUCGCUCACCCUCCCUGCAGCUCCUCCACGCUCACGUUUUUCCACACUUCUCUCAUUUUCCUCCUCUGAAAGCCCUACCUCGAGCAAAGGGGAAAGCAGAGCUAUAAGAAAACAGCCCGCAGAGCUAAUCGGGGCUGAAGGAAGGCGCCUAGCGCUCGCUGC
rnacentral:lncRNA from 1 species